rnacentral:piRNA from 1 species
AGUGAAAAAGCAUAGUUGAUGUC